GAUGAACGCUAGCGGCAGGCUUAAUACAUGCAAGUCGUGGGGCAGCAGGACUGUAGCACUACAGUUGCUGGCGACCGGCAAACGGGUGCGGAACACGUACGCAACUUACCCUGAACUGGGGGAUAGCCCGGGGAAACCCGGAUUAAUACCCCGUAAUAUAAUGGAGUGGCAUCACUUUAUUAUUAAAGCUCCGGCGGUUCGGGAUGGGCGUGCGGCUGAUUAGGUAGUUGGUUGAGGUAACGGCUCACCACGCCUACGAUCAGUAACUGGUGUGAGAGCACGACCAGUCACACGGGCACUGGGACACGGGCCCGACUCCUACGGGAGGCAGCAGUAAGGAAUAUUGGGCAAUGGAGGCAACUCUGACCCAGCCAUGCCGCGUGGAGGAUGAAGGCCCUCUGGGUUGUAAACUUCUUUUAUAGGAGACGAAACCUGUGUAUUCUUACGCAGUUGACGGUACCCGAGGAAUAAGCACCGGCUAACUCCGUG
rnacentral:rRNA from 1 species